AGAGUAGAACGAUCGAUCGCAAUUUUUUGAGGAAAGUCCAGACUCCAUAGGGCAGGAUGCCAGGUUAAAUCCUGGAGAGAGAAAUCUCUGGUAUAGGGCCAUAGAAAUCAAACCGCCUUAUAUUAGGCAAGGGUGGAAAGGUGAGGUAAGAGCUCACCAGUGUCAGGGUAACCUGAUAGCUUGGUAACCCCCAUCUGGAGCAAGACCAAAUUUGAAGGUGAGUUGCCCGCUCGUUAACUUCAAGGUGGGUCGCUUAGAUAGAUGAUCGAUUAAUACAGAAUCUGGCUUAUAGUUCUACUUGAAAA
rnacentral:RNase_P_RNA from 1 species